CUGAUAUUUAUUGCAGGUUUAUUUAUUAUCAAAUGAUCAUAAACAACUGAAAACAACCAAUAAGGGACUAGUUAAAUAAAUUACAGCUCUUCCAUACAAUGGGAAAUCAUGUCUUCAUUAGACAGGAUCGAGCAGCUCUAAUUAUAGUAUAUGAAAUAUUAUCAAGAUAUAUUGGUACAAAAAUAAAUAUGUAAAUAAAUAAAGCAAAGUGCAGCGUGUAUAUAUAGUAUGCUACAAUUCCAUGUGUGUAAACACAUGAUUUAUUUCCAGAAGCAUAUGAUCUAUUUCUGAAGGGAAACACAUGUACCUUGUAACACUGGUGGUCUUCAGAGUGAGAGACUAUGUAGCUGGGGGAUGGGUAGGAAGGGAGACUGCCCUUCCAAAAUUGUGUGCCCCAUGAAUAUAACUGCUAUAAAACAAUUAAUUGGAUAUACCUACUAAAAUAUGCAACUAAACUGGGGCAGAAGUCUCUUGCUUUUAAAUUUAAGUAUAUAUUAAGUGGAUAAAUAUACAAGAAGCUAAAAUAGAAGGCAAAUGAUCUGAUUAUGCUCUCUUUCCCAGAAAAAUAGUACUUUUAAUACUUGUAAGAGAAAUGGCUAUCCUGAUUGUCUCCAGAGCAUCCUACAUAUUCCCCCGGACCACAUUCCCAUCCCUCCUAGAGACGUACUAUGACUUAUGAAUGUUUUCUCUCCUGAAGAUAAACAAGUGACUUUCUUCUACCUCUGUCUGCUUCAGAGAAAUAAAUGUGCACAUGUGCAUGCCCACACACACAAUUUUAACCUUAGUCAGCACUUUCCUGUUAUACUGCUUAUUUUUCUCAGUUGUGUGCUUCAUGUUUCAUGGACACAUUUACAAUCAAAUAUACCACUAGGCUUUGAUAGGUGUUUUUCUCUUGCUCAACCUGGCACACAGCCAUCAGCAUCCAAGAUCAUCUUGUGAAGUUGCCGUCCUCAUGCAAAGCCCUAUGUAAAGUGAGUUUCCAGUCUAUGUCCUUGUGUGACACACUGAAAAUGUAUCGCAGAAGACAUACACUGCAUAAAA
rnacentral:lncRNA from 1 species